UGGCGAACGGGUGAGUAACGCGUGAGGGACCUGCCUCAAAGAGGGGGACAACAGUUGGAAACGACUGCUAAUACCGCGUAAGCCCACGGGUCGGCAUCGACCUGAGGGAAAAGGAGCAAUCCGCUUUGAGAUGGCCUCGCGUCCGAUUAGCUAGUUGGUGAGGUAACGGCCCACCAAGGCGACGAUCGGUAGCCGGACUGAGAGGUUGAACGGCCACAUUGGGACUGAGACACGGCCCAG
rnacentral:rRNA from 1 species